rnacentral:tRNA from 1 species
GCCUGGGUGGCUCAGUUGGUUAAGCGUCUGACUUCGGCUCAGGUCAUGAUCUCACAGUCCGUGAGUUCGAGCCCCGCAUCGGGCU